rnacentral:sRNA from 1 species
UCAACCCACCGUGCCACGAUCGCCAGCG